rnacentral:rRNA from 1 species
GACGAACGCUGGCGGCGUGCUUAACACAUGCAAGUUGAACGGGCAGGUAUGGAAGCUUGCUGAAGUAUCUGUUAGUAGCGGACGGGUGAGUAAUGCAUGAGAAGCUGCCAUUGGGAGGGGGACAACAGUUGGAAACGGCUGCUAAUACCCCAUAUGCCGGAAGGUGAAACGGAGUGAUCCGCCCGAUGAGGUGCUCAUGUCCUAUCAGCUAGUUGGUGGGGUAACGGCUCACCAAGGCGACGACGGGUAGCCGGCCUGAGAGGGUGACCGGCCACACUGGAACUGAGAUACGGUCCAGACUCCUACGGGAGGCAGCAGUGGGGAAUAUUGGGCAAUGGGGGCAACCCUGACCCAGCGACGCCGCGUGAGGGAAGACGGCCUUCGGGUUGUAAACCUCUUUUGUACGGGAAGAAGGAUGUGACGGUACCGUGCGAAUAAGUCCCGGCUAACUACGUGCCAGCCGCCGCGGUAA